GAUUCCUUAGCUCAGCUGGGAGAGCGCUACCUUGACAGGGUAGAGGUCGCUGGUUCGAGCCCAGUAGGAAUCAUCA
rnacentral:tRNA from 8 species